rnacentral:rRNA from 1 species
UGGAUACGAGAUGCUACGGCGUCGAAGCAGUGUAUGUCAGACUUCCAAGAAAAGCUCGCAAUGUCAUAAAUAAAUAAUGCCUGUACCAUAACCGACACAGGUGGGUAGGUAGAGUAUACUAAGGGGCGCGAGAUAACUCUCUCUAAGGAACUCGGCAAAAUAACUCCGUAACUUCGGGAGAAGGAGUGCCUUAUUUAUAAGGUUGCAAUAACAAGAUCCAAGCAACUGUUUAUCAAAAACACAGGUCUCCGCUAAGUCGUAAGACGAUGUAUGGGGGCUGACGCCUGCCCAGUGCCAGAAGGUUAAAGAAGUUGGUUAGCAUUGCGAAGCUGAUGACUGAAGCCCUGGUGAACGGCGGCCGUAACAAUAACGGUCCUAAGGUAGCGAAAUUCCUUGUCGGGUAAGUUCCGACCCGCACGAAAGGCGUAAUGAUUUGGAUACUGUCUCGGAGAGGGACUCGGUGAAAUAGACUUGUCUGUGAAGAUGCGGACUACCUGCACCAGGACAGAAAGACCCUAUGAAGCUUUACUGUAACUUGAAAUUGAAAUUGGACUUUAUUUGCGCAGUAUAGGUGGGAGGCGUUGAGAAUAAUCUCGCGGGAUUAUUGGAGCCAUCAGUGAGAUACCACUCCUAUAAUGUUAGAUUUCUAACUUUGUAUCAUUAUCUGGUCAAAGAACAGUUUCAGGCGGGCAGUUUGACUGGGGCGGUCGCCUCCUAAAUGGUAACGGAGGCGUACAAAGGUUUCCUCUGAACGGGUAGAAAUCGUAUCUAGAGUAUAAAGGCAUAAGGAAGCUUGACUGUGAGACCUACAAGUCGAGCAGGGACGAAAGUCGGUCUUAGUGAUCUGACGGUGCUGAGUGGAAAGGCCGUCACUCAACGGAUAAAAGUUACUCUAAGGAUAACAGGCUGAUCUCCCCCAAGAGUUCACAUCGACGGGGAGGUUUGGCACCUCGAUGUCGGCUCAUCGCAUCCUGGGGCGGUAGUACGUCCCAAGGGUUGGGCUGUUCGCCCAUGAAAGCGGUACGCGAGCUGGGUUCAGAACGUCGUGAGACAGUUCGGUCCAUAUCCGGUGUAGGCGUUAGAAUAUUGAGAGGAGCCUUCUUUAGUACGAGAGGACCGAGAAGGACAUACCUCUGGUGUACCAGUUAUCGUGCCAACGGUAGACGCUGGGUAGCUAUGUAUGGAGUGGAUAACCGCUGAAAGCAUCUAAGUGGGAAGCCCACCUCAAGAUGAGUAUUCU